rnacentral:rRNA from 1 species
GCUAAACGCGAAGAACCUUACCUACCCUUGACAUGCCAGGAACCUCGCAGAGAUGUGAGGGUGCCCGAAAGGGAACCUGGACACAGGUGCUGCAUGGCUGUCGUCAGCUCGUGUCGUGAGAUGUUGGGUUAAGUCCCGCAACGAGCGCAACCCUUGCCAUUAGUUGCUACAUUCAGUUGGGCACUCUAAUGGGACUGCCGGUGACAAACCGGAGGAAGGUGGGGAUGACGUCAAGUCCUCAUGGCCCUUAUGGGUAGGGCUUCACACGUAAUACAAUGGCGCAUACAGAGGGCUGCAAACCCGCGAGGGGAGCCAAUCCCAAAAACCUCAUCUCAGUUCGGAUUGCAGGCUGCAACUCGCCUGCAUGAAGCUGGAGUUGCUAGUAAUCGCGAAUCAGAAUGUCGCGGUGAAUACGUUCCCGGGUCUUGUACACACCG